AGGCGGGCCGUGUCAACCGGACACGACGGAGAUGGAGAACACGGGGAUUUUUCCGGUUUCUCCCCGUGGCCAACGAAACGGCAGGCGAGCUCCCCACCCGUCCGGCCC
rfam:Shinella sp. 65-6 SCNpilot_expt_1000_bf_scaffold_4405, whole genome shotgun sequence.